rnacentral:lncRNA from 1 species
CUUUUCACUUGGCUGUCUCAUCUCAUUCUCUCUUGUCUGCCGCCAUAUAAGAUGUGCCUUUCACCUUCCGCCAUGAUCGUGAGGCCUCCCCAGCUGCAUGGAACUAUGGACAGAAGGUCCAGAGAAGUAAAGUGACUGCUCCCAGCCCACAGCUGCCCCAGGUCUCCUGAUAUCCAGUUCUGCAUCCUCUCUACUCAACCAGGCUGUCUUAUCAAGCCCAGCAAUAUUUCUUCUGUGCACAGCACAUAUACAAUUCUGGGGUCUUCUUAAGAGCCAGAGGUUUGCUGAUUUUGUUUCUAUAGUCACUUCCUGAGUAUUUAUUUCUACCACUUCAAUGAUCUCUCAGGUGGUAUCAAUCUACUUAAGAGAAAAAUGUUUGGCUCUGGCUGUGCACACAACUAGGAGCUGAGAAAGGCAUUUUCCUGAAAGAAAUGUACCAACAGUAGUACAA